rnacentral:rRNA from 1 species
UACGGAAGGCAGCAGUGGGGAAUAUUGCACAAUGGGCGAAAGCCUGAUGCAGCGACGCCGCGUGAGGGAUGACGGCCUUCGGGUUGUAAACCUCUUUCGCUCAUGGUCAAGCCACAGCUUUGGGUUGUGGUGAGGGUAGUGGGUAAAGAAGCGCCGGCUAACUACGUGCCAGCAGCCGCGGUAAUAUGUAGGGCGCGAGCGUUGUCCGGAAUUAUUGGGCGUAAAGGGCUUGUAGGCGGUUGGUCGCGUCUGCCGUGAAAUCCUCUGGCUUAACUGGGAGCGUGCGGUGGUACGGGCUGACUUGAGUGCGGUAGGGGAGACUGGAACUCCUGGUGUAGCGGUGGAAUGCGCAGAUAUCAGGGAAGAACACCGGUGGCGAAGGCGGGUCUCUGGGGCCGUUACUGACGCUGAGGGAGCGAAAGCGUGGGGAGCGAACAGGGAUUAGGAUAC